UCGUCCACGAUCAGAGACGUCGUCUAUGAUCACAGAGACCUUGUCAAAGACGAGAGAGACGUUGUCCAUGAUCAGAGACAUUGUCCCAUGCUUCGUAGAGACCUUGCGAUAGAAUCGGCGGAGACGGGGGUCACCGAUUUGACGGCACUGCCCGCGAUCAUGGAGACAUUGUUAAUGGUCACAGAGACAGCGUCUAUGAUCUCAGAGACAUCGUCCACGAUCACAAAGACACUGUCCAUGAUCACAGAGACUUUGUCCAUAAUCUCAGAGACAUUGUCCGCGAUCACAGAGACGUAGUCCACGAUCACAGAGAGUACAAUGAAGAAGUUCUUUGAGACCAGAACAGAAGUCUCCAGGUGUCACCACUUCGUCCACGACAUGGUCCAUGAUCACAGAGACAUGGUCCACGAUCACAGAGACAUGGUCCAUGAUCGGAGAGACAUUGUUGAGGAUGAGGGAGACAUCGUCCACGAUCAGAGACAUUGUCCGUGAUCGCAGAGACCUUGUCAAAGACGAGAGAGACGUUGUCCUUGAUCAGAGACAUUGUCCCAUGCUUCGUAGAGACCUUGCGAUAGAAUCGGCGGAGACGGGGGUCACCGAUUUGACGGCACUGCCCGCGAUCAUGGAGACAUUGUUAAUGGUCACAGAGACAGCGUCUAUGAUCUCAGAGACAUCGUCCACGAUCACAAAGACACUGUCCAUGAUCACAGAGACUUUGUCCAUAAUCUCAGAGACAUUGUCCGCGAUCACAGAGACGUAGUCCACGAUCACAGAGAGUACAAUGAAGAAGUUCUUUGAGACCAGAACAGAAGUCUCCAGGUGUCACCACUUCGUCCACGACAUGGUCCAUGAUCACAGAGACAUGGUCCACGAUCACAGAGACAUGGUCCAUGAUCGGAGAGACAUUGUUGAGGAUGAGGGAGACAUCGUCCACGAUCAGAGACAUUGUCCGUGAUCGCAGAGACCUUGUCAAAGACGAGAGAGACGUUGUCCUUGAUCAGAGACAUUGUCCCAUGCUUCGUAGAGACCUUGCGAUAGAAUCGGCGGAGACGGGGGUCACCGAUUUGACGGCACUGCCCGCGAUCAUGGAGACAUUGUUAAUGGUCACAGAGACAGCGUCUAUGAUCUCAGAGACAUCGUCCACGAUCACAAAGACACUGUCCAUGAUCACAGAGACUUUGUCCAUAAUCUCAGAGACAUUGUCCGCGAUCACAGAGACGUAGUCCACGAUCACAGAGAGUACAAUGAAGAAGUUCUUUGAGACCAGAACAGAAGUCUCCAGGUGUCACCACUUCGUCCACGACAUGGUCCACGAUCACAGAGACAUGGUCCACGAUCACAGAGACAUGGUCCAUGAUCGGAGAGACAUUGUUGAGGAUGAGGGAGACAUCGUCCACGAUCAGAGACAUUGUCCGUGAUCGCAGAGACCUUGUCAAAGACGAGAGAGACGUUGUCCUUGAUCAGAGACAUUGUCCCAUGCUUCGUAGAGACCUUGCGAUAGAAUCGGCGGAGACGGGGGUCACCGAUUUGACGGCACUGCCCGCGAUCAUGGAGACAUUGUUAAUGGUCACAGAGACAGCGUCUAUGAUCUCAGAGACAUCGUCCACGAUCACAAAGACACUGUCCAUGAUCACAGAGACUUUGUCCAUAAUCUCAGAGACAUUGUCCGCGAUCACAGAGACGUAGUCCACGAUCACAGAGUCUUUGAACAAUGAAGAAGUUCUUUGAGACCAGGACAAAGGCUUCCAGGUGUCACCACUUCAUCCACGACAUCGUCCACGAUCACAGAGACAUGGUCCAUGAUCGGAGAGACAUUGUUGAGGAUGAGGGAGACAUCGUCCACGAUCAGAGACAUUGUCCGUGAUCGCAGAGACCUUGUCAAAGACGAGAGAGACGUUGUCCUUGAUCAGAGACAUUGUCCCAUGCUUCGUAGAGACCUUGCGAUAGAAUCGGCGGAGACGGGGGUCACCGAUUUGACGGCACUGCCCGCGAUCAUGGAGACAUUGUUAAUGGUCACAGAGACAGCGUCUAUGAUCUCAGAGACAUCGUCCACGAUCACAAAGACACUGUCCAUGAUCACAGAGACUUUGUCCAUAAUCUCAGAGACAUUAUCCGCGAUCACAGAGACGUAGUCCACGAUCACAGAGAGUACAAUGAAGAAGUUCUUUGAGACCAGAACAGAAGUCUCCAGGUAAUUCACUAACAGCUUUACAUCAACUGUCCAACACAGAGCAGAAAAAGCGUAAUAAUAGAAGUAAUCUGCACUAUAAAAAUAAUGUAUAAGUAAUCUGUAUUAAUAGAAUAUAAAAGUAAUUCGCAAUAUCAGAAGUGAGAUGUAUAGUCCAAGUCACUUGUUACUAGAUAUACUUUGCAACAAUUUAUCUGUAAAUUUAGAAGUAAUAU